rnacentral:rRNA from 1 species
ACAACGUGAACCUAUGGAGGGGGAUAACCCCGGGAAACUGGGGAUAAUACCCCAUAGACUAUGGAUGCUGGAAUGCUCUGUAGUUGAAAGGUCCGCCGCCAUAGGAUGGGUCUGCGGCCGAUUAGGUUGUUGUUGGGGUAACGGCCCAACAAGCCUGUAAUCGGUACGGGUUGUGGGAGCAAGAGCCCGGAGAUGGAUUCUGAGACACGAAUCCAGGCCCUACGGGGCGCAGCAGGCGCGAAAACUUUACAAUGCGGGAAACCGUGAUAAGGGAACUCCGAGUGCCCGUAAAAUCGGGCUGUCCAUCUGUUUAAAUAACAGGUGAAGAAAGGGCCGGGCAAGACCGGUGCCAGCCGCCGCGGUAAUACCGGCGGCUCGAGUGGUGGCCACUAUUACUGGGCUUAAAGCGUUCGUAGCUGGUUUGUUAAGUCUCUGGGGAAAUCUGCCGGCUCAACCGGCAGGCGUUCCAGGGAUACUGGCAGACUAAGGACCGGGAAAGGUGAGGGGUACUCCAGGGGUAGGAGUGAAAUCCUGUAAUCCUUGGGGGACCACCUGUGGGCGAAGGCGUCUCACCAGAGCGGCUCCGACAGUGAGGGACGAAAGCUGGGGGAGCAAACCGGAUUAGAUACCCGGGUAGUCCCAGCUGUAAACGAUGCGCGUCAGGUGUAUCGGUGACCACGAGUCACCGAGGUGCCGAAGAGAAAUCGUGAAACGUGCCGCCUGGGAAGUACGGUCGCAAGGCUGAAACUUAAU